rnacentral:rRNA from 1 species
CGUGGGUAACCUACCCAUCAGAGGGGGAUAACACUUGGAAACAGGUGCUAAUACCGCAUAACAGUUUAUGCCGCAUGGCAUAAGAGUGAAAGGCGCUUUCGGGUGUCGCUGAUGGAUGGACCCGCGGUGCAUUGGCUAGUUGGUGAGGUAACGGCUCACCAAGGCCACGAUGCAUAGCCGACCUGAGAGGGUGAUCGGCCACAUUGGGACUGAGACACGGCCCAA